AAGUUGAGUCUUCAGUGCAAACAACAACAUUGUGAGAUGAAUUAUACUUCACCAAUGAUUUGGAGAAUAGGUAGAGUGAGUAAUGGCGGUGGUAGCAAGACGGUGGUGUAGGAUGGACACAAGCAAACAGUUGGAUAGGAAUUAAGGAUGACGAAAAGAAAUGUACAACCCUUUCAAGAAGAGACCCUGUACAAAAGGAAAAGGAAAGAAAAUGCUAUUUGAUUAGAAAGACAGUUAAGAAUGAUUAGCGGUUACUCAAAGUAACUUCCAGUCAAACAUUUCAAUUCAAGAAAACCGGGAUUUAGCUUUCAUUACGGUGAUAUUCCAGAUAUCAUGCUGCAAAGUUGCUAGUAACAUGCCACCUUGUAAAAAUAUUGGAACUAAUAUUUUAUUCCCUUGUAGGAGCAGCAUUCACCAAUACAAUAGUGAAA
rnacentral:sRNA from 1 species